rnacentral:lncRNA from 1 species
GGGCGGAGGGGCCUUGAGAGGGCCAGGGCACUGGGCCAGGAAGGAGGCAGAAGCCUGCAGGAGAGGCCUGUGGAGGGGCUUCGGGCCUCAGACAAGCCCCUCUCUGGUGUCCUUGGAGCCCAGGAUACCUGGCUGGUGAUAUAAAUGCUGUUUUCACCAGAAGCCACAGUUCUGGGAUCUCAGAAGUGAUGGAUGAUCCUAGGCCCAACUCAGAGAUUGGCCCAUGCUGGCUAACUAGUAUGGUAGCUGGCUGGACAUUCCCUGGGUAAUUUUCUUAAAAUGCCCUUCAGAAGCUGUCCUGCCACCUAAAAGGUGGAGCAGUGGGGAGAACCCUCACUCCAGAACUAGAGAAUCAGGCAAGUGGAGUGAGAGAAGCAAGAAGAGGCCUGAAGGAAGUGAGGCCUGAGAGGGAUGCAGGGUCCCAUAAAGAACUGUUUCUCCAAAUGUGGUGCCUGGACCAGCAGCAUCAACAAUGCCUGGGAGCCUAUUAGAAAUGCAGAAUCGUGGACCCUACUCAAGACUUACUGAAUCUGAAUCUGCAUGUUAAUAAGAUCCCCAGGGAUUUGUGAGCACAUUCAAGUUCAAGAAGUCCUGGAUGAGGCACACGGGUAGAUCCCUGACCCCUUCCCACUACAGGAUAAUGGGGAUCUGGGAUCUGCACCAUGCUCAGUCCAGCUCUGUGGGGGCUCUGGCUCUCUCAUUGGCACAAGCAUCCCCUCAGUUAACCCUGGAACUUGAGGUCACUGGAGGAGGCCUCCAGUCCUUAAAACCCCACAGCCAAACUAGUACAAUGAGUGAGAUGCUCUCACCCUGCUGAGUCGCCACUUCCCAAGGUGGAGGAUCUUCACUUCCUUUGUUUCUUUUCCUAGAAUGUGGGCUCUGCGUUCUAACCCAGGCUCCGCCACUUACUGACUGUGAUCCUGGAAGUUGCUAAACUUCUCUGCACCUUGGUUUUCCUUUUCUGUAAUAUAGAGGUGACACAUUUUCUAGAUCAUAGCUUUUUUUGGUGCAUAUAUCUAAGCAAAUAUAUACAUCAUGCUUAGAAGAGUGGUUGGCACACACCGCCAUUAACAUUCGUCACUUGCUAUGAGCCUUCCAUCUUUCCCUCUUCUGGGUGGCCCUUGGGCUGGGGUGGGAUGAAGGGAAGGUGGUGCUUACCUGUGAGGAGUCAAGGAAAGCAGUGCAAAGGCAGGGAUACUGGACUGGAGGUGACUCCUGUAGGGGGAAGAAGGAAAUGUGUUUGUAUGACACUGGGGUAUGCCAGGCUCAGUGCCAGGCACUUUCUUCCCUUCCACAGUUACACCAGAAUAGUGCUGUU